ACACACAAAAUCAUUUCCAUACUUGCCCUCAAAAAAAACCCAACAGCCAUCCUCAUAAUGAAACCCCCUCUCGCCAGAUUGAAUAGCAAAUGAAAAGGUGAAAGCAAUUAUUCAUGAAAUCAAUUAGGUUUCAAUGAUUAAUCAUGAAACGGAAAAUUAAAUGCUGCGGGUAUACUUGAAACGAGAAGGGAUUGUGGGGGCUCUGUUUUCAGGCGUUGGGUAGUGGAUUUGCGCAAUUCGCCUAGACCGUUUAUGCAUAGACAUAACAUAAUCUAGAGUCAACAACUUCACGCUCUGUUCUUGCACCUCAUCUUGUUCAGUGGCAUCAGUUGGUGUUAUUAUACAUUUCAUUUCUUUAAUGUUGCGGUGAUGCGGUUCCAAUGGAAAGAUAUGCUUUAUAUGCGGUUCCACAGAAACAAUGGAAUUGAUUGGUUUUUAGCGAUGCCAGUAGUGACGGUGGUGAUCUCUGCAUCUCAACACAGAGCUGAAACUAGGACAGAUGUUAAAGUAUCCAGGUUGAAUCUCUUGUUCCUGCUCUGCAUACGCAACCCGUUUGAACAGAAAAAAAAAUCACCCUGUCUACAUUACAAAAUCGACAAUUUCUACAAAGAUAACAAACAGAAACCAGAAUUGUCCGAGGGGUAUAUCUAUAUAUGUACAUAGUGAUGCAGGCUCGAUUACGUACGUACGUAUAUGGCUAUCUUUUUACUCGGUGGAAAGAGUGCAGUGGAUUCAUGUGUCAAUUGGAUUGUUUGACAAAUGUGCAAUUCCAAUAGUUGCACACGCGAGAGCUAUAUAGGCUUGCAAAUGCUGUUUCUACAGCUUGUGCACUAAUGUGCUCCUGGAGGUGGGUGACCAUAUAUAUCAAGGACUGGUGAAUCGAUGAAGGCUCCUGGAGGUGGGUGAGCAUAUAUAUCAAGGGCUGGUUUUGAGAGCAACCUAAAAGGGUAUUUUGAUGGGCAUCAUGGCAGUUCUAAGGGAAAAUGGAUGUGUAAAAGUUCAAGUUCUUUUAACUUCUUUUGAUGUCAUUGUUGAGGUACACAGUUGAAAAUAUAUGAA